GCAAAGUCGGAUCGUGUUAACAAACUACUAAAAGAGACGGAAAAGUACCUCCAAAAGCUUGGAUCCAAAUUAAAGGAGGCCAAAUCAAUUGCAAGAAAAUUCGAGACUGACGUGGGUGACAAUAGAAACUCAGGUGUGGUUGAGGAGGAUGAAAUUGACUUUGGUGAUGAGGAUGAAACAGACCAGGCUAAGCAUUACUUGGAAAGCAAUGAAAAAUACUAUUUGAUGGCACAUAGUGUAAAGGAAACCAUCACAGAGCAACCUAGUUCUCUCAAAGGUGGAAAAUUACGGGGUUACCAAAUGAAUGGAUUGCGAUGGUUGGUUUCACUCUACAAUAACCAUUUGAAUGGAAUUUUAGCUGAUGAAAUGGGCCUCGGUAAAACUGUUCAGGUUAUAUCCCUUAUGUGUUACCUGAUGGAAACCAAAAAU
rnacentral:misc_RNA from 1 species